rnacentral:lncRNA from 1 species
UUGAUGUCUUGGGCAGAGAAAUAGAAUGGCUCUUUUUCAUUUUUUCUAUGAAACCUGUCUUACUUUUUGUUUGAGGUCCAUGCCUAUUCUCUCACUUUCUCUGAUCCCAUGCCUAUUUGAAUUAAAAUAUUGUAAUUAAAAAGCAAGUUGGGUGGGCAUUCAUGAUGUUGAUGUCUUCGGCAGAGAGAAGAGAACGGCUUUUUAAAUUUUUUUUAAUGAAAUCUUUCAUAUUUUUUGACGUCUCUUGUUUAUCCCUCUCAUUUCUCUGAUUUCUUCUUUCUCUCUCAUUCUUUCUUUCCUCUCUUCUUUGUCACCAGUUCUUUCUUUCUCUCUUUUCUCUGAUUUCUUUCUUUUCUCUAGUCUCAUCCCAUUUAUUCUUUCUUUCCUCUCUUCUUUCUCAUUGAUUAUUUCUUCAUCUCUUUCUCUUAUUAUUAUUAUUUUUUAUUUCUCACCAGGUCUUUAUUUCUUCUUCUCUUCUUCUCCUCUUUGUCUGAUUUCUCUUUUUGUUUCUUACUUUCCUUUGGUGCAUCAAUUGGAUAUGUUUUGCUGGAUAGUUUUUUUUUGUUUUUUUGGUAUGUAUCUUUUAAGGUUCAGAUAUGGUUUUUCUUGUAUGAAUUCGGCGAUUUGCUCCAUUGCUUUGUGUAAAAAUAUCAGUUAGGCUAAGAGCCAGUCCAAAGCGUGAAAAACCAAAACCGAACCGGACCUAAACCGGCCCAGGUUGGUCUGGUUUUCUUUGGCAUUUUAGUUAA